rnacentral:rRNA from 1 species
UGGGGAAUUUUGGACAAUGGGCGCAAGCCUGAUCCAGCAAUGCCGCGUGCAGGAUGAAGGCCUUCGGGUUGUAAACUGCUUUUGUCAGGGAAGAAACGAGUUUCUCUAAUACAGAGACUUAAUGACGGUACCUGAAGAAUAAGCACCGGCUAACUACGUGCCAGCAGCCGCGGUAAUACGUAGGGUGCAAGCGUUAAUCGGAAUUACUGGGCGUAAAGCGUGCGCAGGCGGUUAUGCAAGACAGAUGUGAAAUCCCCGGGCUCAACCUGGGAACUGCAUUUGUGACUGCAUAGCUGGAGUGCGGCAGAGGGGGGUGGAAUUCCGCGUGUAGCAGUGAAAUGCGUAGAUAUGCGGAGGAACACCGAUGGCGAAGGCAAUCCCCUGGGCCUGCACUGACGCUCAUGCACGAAAGCGUGGGGAGCAAACA